rnacentral:rRNA from 1 species
AAGAGAAUGAUUAAACAAAUAAAAGCUUUCUUUAAUUGAAUAAUUGAAUUUAAUUUUUUAGUGCAAAAGCAAAAAUAAAAAUUAGGGACAAGAAGACCCUAUGAAUUUUUAUUAAAUUUUAUAAAACUUUAUAUAAAAUUUAAUUUAAUUGGGGUGAUGGAAAAAGAAUAAAUAUCUUUUUUUAAAAGAAAAUUGGUUCCGUUCUUAGCGAUUAAAUGAAAAAAAUACUCUAGGGAUAACAGCGUAAUAAUUUUGGAUAGUUCAUAUAGAUAAAAUAGUUUGCGACCUCGAUGUUGGAUUAGGAUUCUUUUUUGGUGAAGAAGUUAAAAAAAGAAGUUUGUUCAACUUAUAAUUUCCU